CAGCCGCCGCGGUAAUACGUAGGUGGCAAGCGUUGUCCGGAAUUAUUGGGCGUAAAGGGCUCGCAGGCGGUUUCUUAAGUCUGAUGUGAAAGCCCCCGGCUCAACCGGGGAGGGUCAUUGGAAACUGGGAAACUUGAGUGCAGAAGAGGAGAGUGGAGUUCCACGUGUAGCGGUGAAAUGCGUAGAGAUGUGGAGGAACACCAGUGGCGAAGGCGACUCUCUGGUCUGUAAUUGACGCUGAGGAGCGAAAGCGUGGGGAGCGAACAGGAUUAGAUACCCGUGUAGUCCCUGUCUCUUAUAC
rnacentral:rRNA from 1 species